GCGCGCACAGCACAGGCCCUCUCUCAAGGUCACCACCUCCACUCCCGUUGUAUGCUGGGAUUGUAGUCCGGCCGCCCUGUGACUAACGGCUGGAACCGCCUAAGACACCACCCCAGCCAGCAUGGCCGGCAGGAGCGCACCGCGCUGUCUCCCUCCAGGGAUCCGCACCGCCCUACAAUCCUGCUUUGUGCUGAGAUUGUAGUCCUGCAGGCGUACAACUAACAAGCUGGGUGCAGAUAAGAGACUACAGCUCCCCGCAUCCCAAGCAAAGGUCCCUCCUCUACGGAGCCCCUCCACGCGUCCACUGCGGUUCCGCCGUGCCAAGGGGAGCUUGGCUGUUCACGGGCCUCACCUGCUAGCGAGAAGAUAGCUUGGCCGGGCGGCUGAUCUCACCUUGUAAUUCUGACACUGUGUCUCCCGGGCUUGUCGGCUUCAUGACUUGUGCCCAAAGUUUGAUUUCUCGCAGACCAGGAGGACCCAUUGGACCCCCGGGCUGGCUGCAGGGCCCACACCUGGGUUAGACCUCGCACAGGGACGCUGCUGCCACUGUAAUAAAGCGUGCCUACACGCUUCUGAAACUGGUGUAGGAACAACCUCAGUUCUGUGAAAGGCGGACGCAGCAGGACAGAAUCUCCGUGGACAUCUGUCUGGAGGAGCAAUUUUACUGCGACAUUUUAAAGAAACAAAUUUAAUUGAUUUCCAAGGGUGUCCAUCGCGCUUCCUUCACUGCCUUGAUCAUGUCGGGGUCACCACCUGCGGGGGUUUGUCCUGCAGACCCUGACUCAACGACGGAUGAAUAAUGUACACUGACACAGAUCUUAUGCUUGUCAGUCCUGCUGAGCAUCCAGGCCACUUACAGACUCCAAGAAGAGUCCUGUCAGCCACGGCUCUGACUUGUUGGCCCUCCCGGCAUUUAUUUAGCACACAUUUAAUGACAGAAGUCUCAG
rnacentral:lncRNA from 10 species